rnacentral:rRNA from 1 species
AUGACGAUGGAGGCCACUCCUCUCCUGACUCCAUACAAGAUGGGCAAAUUCAACCUCGCGCACAGGGUUGUUCUUGCUCCUGUGACGCGGUGCAGGUCGUAUGGGAACAUGGCCCAGCCGCACAAUGCGCUGUACUACGCGCAGAGGGCGGCGCCGGGCGUCGUCCUCAUCGCAGAGGCCAGCGCGGUGUCGAAGAUGGCACCAAGGUACCCGCCCGUGCCCGGCCUGUGGAGCCAGGAGCAGGUGGAGGCCUGGAAGGCUGUAGUCGAUGCCGUGCACGCCAAGGGCGCCCUCUUCUUCUGCCAGAUUUGGCAUACAGGCAGCGUCUCGCCCACUGGGUUGGACGCCCCUCAGGGUUGGAAGCACAGGAGAUACCCCGAAUGGUGA